GACGAACGCUGGCGGCGUGCCUAAUACAUGCAAGUAGGACGCAGUUGCGAACGGGUGAGUAACGCGUAGGUAACUACCUAUUAGAGGGGGAUAACUAUUGGAAACUAUAGCUAAUACCGCAUACUAGUAGAUGGACCUGAUGUGUAUUAGCAAGUAGGUAGGGUAAUGGCCUAACUAGGCAAUGAUACAUAGCCGACCUGAGAGGGUGCUCGGCCCAACCGGGUCUGUGACACGGCCCAGACUCCUACUGGGGGCAGCCGUAGGGAAUCUUCGGCAAUGGGGGGAACCCUGGCCGAGCAACGCCGCGUGAGUGAAGAAGGUUUUCGGAUCUUAAAGCUCUGUUGUUAAGGAAGCGGUACUUAACCAGAAAGGGACGGCUAACUACGUGCCAGCAGCCGCGGUAAUAC
rnacentral:rRNA from 1 species